GGACGAACGCUGGCGGCGUGCUUAACACAUGCAAGUCGAACGGUGACGAGGAGCUUGCUCCUCCGAUCAGUGGCGAACGGGUGAGUAACACGUGAGUAACCUGCCCCAGACUCUGGAAUAACAGUUGGAAACAGCUGCUAAUACCGGAUACGAGACGGAGAGGCAUCUCUACCGUCUGGAAAGUUUUUCGGUCUGGGAUGGACUCGCGGCCUAUCAGCUUGUUGGUGAGGUAAUGGCUCACCAAGGCGACGACGGGUAGCCGGCCUGAGAGGGUGAACGGCCACACUGGAACUGAGACACGGUCCAGACUCCUACGGGAGGCAGCAGUGGGGAAUAUUGCACAAUGGAGGGAACUCUGAUGCAGCGACGCCGCGUGAGUGAAGAAGGUCUUCGGAUCGUAAAACUCUGUCCUUGGUGAAGAAAAGGACGGUAGCCAAGGAGGAAGCCCCGGCUAACUACGUGCCAGCAGCCGCGGUAAUACGUAGGGGGCGAGCGUUGUCCGGAUUUACUGGGCGUAAAGGGUGAGUAGGCGGUUAUAUAUGUCAGGUGUAAAAAGCUAUGGCUUAACCAUAGUAAGCACUUGAAACUGUAUGACUUGAGUGCAGGAGAGGUAAGCGGAAUUCCUAGUGUAGCGGUGAAAUGCGUAGAUAUUAGGAGGAACACCGGUGGCGAAGGCGGCUUACUGGACUGUAACUGACGCUGAGUCACGAAAGCGUGGGUAGCAAACAGGAUUAGAUACCCUGGUAGUCCACGCUGUAAACGAUGAGUGCUAGGUGUUGGGUAGCGAUAUUCAGUGCCGGAGUAAACACAAUAAGCACUCCGCCUGGGGAGUACGGUCGCAAGACUGAAACUCAAAGGAAUUGACGGGGACCCGCACAAGCAGCGGAGCAUGUGGUUUAAUUCGAAGCAACGCGAAGAACCUUACCAAGGCUUGACAUCCCCUUGACAGAUGCAGAGAUGUAUCCUCCCCUUCGGGGGCAAGGGAGACAGGUGGUGCAUGGUUGUCGUCAGCUCGUGUCGUGAGAUGUUGGGUUAAGUCCCGCAACGAGCGCAACCCUUAUCCUUAGUUGCCAGCACAAAAGGUGGGCACUCUAAGGAGACUGCCGGUGAUAAACCGGAGGAAGGUGGGGAUGACGUCAAAUCAUCAUGCCCCUUAUGUCUUGGGCUACACACGUGCUACAAUGGUCGGUACAACGGGCAGCUAUGGAGCGAUCCGGAGCAAAUCCCAAUAAACCGAUCCCAGUUCGGAUUGCAGGCUGCAACUCGCCUGCAUGAAGUCGGAGUUGCUAGUAAUCGCGAAUCAGAACGUCGCGGUGAAUGCGUUCCCGGGUCU
rnacentral:rRNA from 1 species